CCUACGGGUGGCAGCAGUGAGGAAUAUUGGUCAAUGGGCGGAAGCCUGAACCAGCCAAGUAGCGUGCAGGAUGACGGCCCUACGGGUUGUAAACUGCUUUUAUACGGGAAUAACGCGCCUCACGUGUAGGUCUUUGCAUGUACCGUAUGAAUAAGGACCGGCUAAUUCCGUGCCAGCAGCCGCGGUGAUACGGGAGGGGGCGAGCGUUAUCCGGAUUUACUGGGUUUAAAGGGAGCGUAGAAGGUUAUUGAAGUCUGGAGUUAAAGUCCGUGGCCCAAGCCCGGGACUGCUGUGGAAACUGGGUAACUGGAGUACAGGAGAGGCAGGCGGAAUUCGUGGUGUAGCGGUGAAAUGCGUAGAUAUCACGAGGAACGCCGACGGCGAAGGCAGCCUGCUGGACUGAAACUGACGUUGAGGCUCGAAAGCGUGGGGAGCAAACAGGAUUAGAUACCCCUGUAGUC
rnacentral:rRNA from 1 species